UGUAUCAUCUACUAUGUCUAC
ensembl:piRNA 21ur-277 ncRNA